rnacentral:rRNA from 1 species
CCUACGGGAGGCAGCAGUCGAGAAUCAUUCACAAUGGGGGAAACCCUGAUGGUGCGACGCCGCGUGGGGGAAUGAAGGUCUUCGGAUUGUAAACCCCUGUCAUGUGGGAGCAAAUUAAAAAGAUAGUACCACAAGAGGAAGAGACGGCUAACUCUGUGCCAGCAGCCGCGGUAAUACAGAGGUCUCAAGCGUUGUUCGGAAUCACUGGGCGUAAAGCGGGCGUAGGCUGUUUCGUAAGUCGUGUGUGAAAGGCGCGGGCUCAACCCGCGGACGGCACAUGAUACUGCGAGACUAGAGUAAGGGAGGGGGAACCGGAAUUCUCGGUGUAGCAGUGAAAUGCGUAGAUAUCGAGAGGAACACUCGUGGCGAAGGCGGGUUCCUGGACAUUAACUGACGCUGAGGCACGAAGGCCAGGGGAGCGAAAGGGAUUAGAUACCCCGGUAGUC